UCCGGUUUGUCACCGGCAGUCUCAUUAGAGUGCCCUUUCGUAGCAACUAAUGACAAGGGUUGCGCUCGUUGCGGGACUUAACCCAACAUCUCACGACACGAGCUGACGACAGCCAUGCAGCACCUGUGUUCCGGUUCUCUUUCGAGCACUCCCACAUCUCUGCAGGAUUCCGGACAUGUCAAGGGUAGGUAAGGUUUUUCGCGUUGCAUCGAAUUAAACCACAUCAUCCACCGCUUGUGCGGGUCCCCGUCAAUUCCUUUGAGUUUUAAUCUUGCGACCGUACUCCCCAGGCGGCCUACUUCACGCGUUAGCUUCGUUACUGAGGAAAUAAAUCCCCAACAACUAGUAGGCAUCGUUUAGGGCGUGGACUAC
rnacentral:misc_RNA from 1 species